GUCUCUGAUUCCUGAGGCUUCUAAUCCAUUCUCCAUCAGUCUCAGUUGGUUCCUCCUCCAUCCAAUCCAUUGGAAAUCUUUCUCAGAUUUAGGCUUUUUUCUGGGGAUCUAGAGACAGAGAUUGAGGUCAUAGGGCGACAGAAGAAGCGAUCUUCUUUUGAGUCUAUUUAUGCAAAUAGUGAUUUUGGCGCAUCAUGGAUUGAUACGGAACCUGAAAGUUGUGCUAUGAAUGUCUUUUUUUUUAAUUUCUUAAUGGAAGGAAUUAAGACUUCACUAUUGGAGUUCAUGAAAACAUUCCCUGAUGCUAGAGAAGAAUGACCAAGCACCCCAGAGCUCGAUCGAUACUACCAUUAGUUAUCUUUUAUCAAAUGAACCUCGGCUAUUCAUUUGCUGUUUUGGACUGUUGGUGCGAUUUGGUUAUUGGGAUCUGGGUUUGAUCGUUUAUCUUCCAUACUGAGGUAUUUGAUUGGCCUCUGUUGAAUGGGUUUCUGUUGGAUGAACUCAUAAAUUGGUUUUCAUUGGCUAUGGCUUGCCUGCAGAGCAUAUGACCAGGCUGCCAUCAAUUGCCAUGAAAGGGAAGCGCUCACCAACUUUAAUCCAAGCUUAUAUGAUGGGGAGAUUGUGACUGAGUCCAGCAAUGCAGCAAUCACCUUCCUUUUCGCAAUAAAUUAAGGGAAUUGGAGAUGCAAACAACGAGUCGCGCUGUGUAUGCUGUUAAAGCAAUCCACCUCUGCAAAAGAUGGAAAGCUGAGGGAUAAGAUUACUAUGUGAAAGAGGAGAACGAGUUUGUUGCGUGCUGAAGGUAUUGAAGCAUCAGCCUAUGCUAGCUAUUUGUCCUACAGCUACGCACGGGAUACUACCUAGGGUUUUUACAUGUUCCCCAUUGGUUUAUUUUUUGAGACAAUUUUCUGUUAUGCGAACUAUUAGUUGGUCUAUUACGUGAAGUCGUGAAGUAAAUUGCAAAAUAGCCAAACCCGCUGCAACGCGCGGGCAUUUUUU